CACCGGUGCCGCUGGUGCCGGUCGCGGUGCUCUCGCUGUCGCCGAGGACGGAGAUGGCGUUGCCGCUGACGGUGAUCGGCACGUCGACCGGUGC
rnacentral:tRNA from 1 species